CCUGAACAUGUCUUAAGCUCUUCAGCAACUCCCUGUGGAUUUAACAAAUGCAGAAGAUCCUUAGACCAAAAUUAAGAUACCAAUAAGUACAGGUGUCUCUUGACUCUGAUAUGGUGAAGCAGUUGAAGGAGGAGCCAACGUGAAAAAAUCUUCAUUAAGAGCUCUAUUUUGUCUGAAGACAUUCCUUGGUUUGGACUCGGAUAUAGAUCGUGAUCCUGAAGGAACUUCUCUGGAGAAAAGUACCAAAAAAGACUCUUAGUAGGAAGCUGAUUCAGGCGAUCUGGAUGCAAGGCUAACAUAGCCCGGAGGAAACUUGCAGUGAAAUGCGGGGACUGGUGGAUACUCUGGAGAGAAG